GAAGUUUCAAGACUUUAGUUGGAUGGUAUCGGUUGUUGUAGCAAUGUCUACAGUUCAGCAUCUGAGAGAGGUUAUCCAGGAGAGAUUAACUACUGCUGCAGAAGAAAUCUUCUCAGAGUUUGCAAAAACGAUCGUCCGGUAUGAGGAAGAGAUCAGUCAGCUAAGACUGCUGAAUAUCAGACCCGGGAUAAAGUCACACAAUACAGGUCUGGAUGAUCAGCAGGUCUGUGAUCAGGAGAGGAGCUCCAGUCUCCACCAGCAGGACCCAGAGCCUCCACAGACUAGAGAGGAACAGAAGGAAAUGUGCAGCAGUGAGGAAGGAGAGCAGCUUGAACUGAAGCAGGAGGCUGAAGGCAUUAAUGUGUGGACUGGUGAAGAGGUGGAUUUGUUGUGGAAAUCUGGAGUAAAGCUGACCACAGUAGACCUCCCACAGCAACAUAAUUGUA
ensembl:lncRNA